rnacentral:piRNA from 2 species
UCCUCUUGAGAAAGUACUUUAUUAAGGCAA